rnacentral:rRNA from 1 species
UACGUAGGGGGCAAGCGUUGUCCGGAUUUAUUGGGCGUAAAGAGCGUGUAGGCGGCCAUGCAGGUCCGCUGUGAAAACUCGAGGCUCAACCUCGAGACGUCGGUGGAAACCGUGUGGCUAGAGUCCGGAAGAGGAGAGUGGAAUUCCCGGUGUAGCGGUGAAAUGCGCAGAUAUCGGGAAGAACACCCGUGGCGAAGGCGGCUCUCUGGGACGGUACUGACGCUGAGACGCGAAAGCGUGGGGAGCGAACAGG